CGACGAGGAAGAAGAGGAGGAGGAGGAGGAAGGAGCGAGCGGGGCGAGGGAGGAGGAGCGGCGGGACGGAGCGAGGGGGCGGGCGGGGGCCGGCGCCGCCCGGGACCGCCCCGCGCCCCCCCCUCCCCACACGGACGCUCCGCACCUGCGGAGCCGCGCGCGCUCGUGUGCGCGAGCCGUUCCCGCGCUUUCGCCCCGCCCCGCUCAGCCUGAGGGGCAGGUGCGGGUCCCGAGCCCCCCCCCGGCCCCUGCGUGAGGGGAGGCCGCGGAAACACCGGCGGGAGCGGGCCCCCGAGGGAGCUCUGCCGUCCCCUGAGGUGCUACGGGGAGAGACCCUGCUCCGGGAGGCACCGGGACACCUCCCGACACAGCUCCCCCAAACAACAGCAGCCCCGGUGCGGGCUGAGCCCGUCCCAGCGGCGGCCGCAGCUGAAGUGUGAAGAGCAUCGUGGGCAGCGUGAAGCGCGCCCAGGCUCCGCUCUGCUGUGGGCACCACCCAUACACCUGAUCCGGACAAGAUCGUGGCGUUAUCACCUUUCUCCCUGAGUUCUGCCCCAAAACACCCACUUCCGUGAAUGCUCACAGCCCCUCAGGCAGAGAAGAGCGCCCCACCUGCGCUCUCAGCACCAAGGUUUUGAAGCCUGCUCAUCCUGACCAAGCCUUUCUGGAUCUCAUCAACAUGAAGGAACUCUCCUUAUGCCCUUCCAAGAUCUGUGCAAUACUUCUUGGAGUGACUUCCCGGUGAUGCCAACAGCUUUCCCUGGCACCCCCAAGCAGAUUAAGUGGAAGACCACAGCAGUUUGUGGCCUCCAGCCCUCUUCCUUUUCUCCUCAGCUGCCACCACUGUCCUGCUCCUCAGUGGUUCUGACUGGACUGUGCUUAAGCCAUGUCUCAACUGAGUAUCACCAGUGAGCUGAGGACCAAGGCCUGGCAAAGCAGGAAAAAAUACCAGCAUGGGUUUGCUAAGAGAUCAAGGUCUGCAAGGACUUGUCCCUGCCUAUCUAUGCAUUACAAUCAAAGAAUCCCAAAUAUGAGGUAUCAACAGCAGCCCUAUGGGCCUUGGGGAAAGGUAGGUGGUACCUUUGCUACAGAAAGGUCAGUGUUAAUCUUGUUAUGUC
rnacentral:lncRNA from 1 species